ensembl:lncRNA
UUUAAGCAGCUUGAACAAAACCUGUUAAUAUUUAUUAUAGACCACUGUAACUGUCUAUUAUCUAAAAAAAAAACAAAUUUAUUAUGAAAAUAAAAGUGUGUACACCAGUUAAACUGGACGAUAAAGAAAUUGCUAACAAUAGUUUAAUAGAGCAUGUUUUAGGUUUAUAGGUGUUUAGAUGCAGAAAUUUAAUUUAAUUAAAUAUAGAUUAAUUCUUGUAAGAGCAAAAAAAUAAAUAAAUAAUAAUAAUAAUAAUAAAUACAUGAAUACAUACAAAAAAAGCAGCCAAGACGAAUGAUUUUCUGUUUUUAUAGAUUAAAAUUAAAGACAGAAAGCAGCUGGUAAAUGCAGUCACUUUAAUAUUCAAAUCCAGUAUCAUGAUACACUUCAGAUUUAUUUCUCAACUGUUUAUGUUUACGUGACUGUUUUCGUUUAUAUUCGCCAAGCUAUUAUGUAUUUUUGAAAUAACCUUGUUCUUGAUUUGUUCGUUCUUGCCAGAAUCAGCGUCCUCUGGAGCUCGAGAGAUCGAUGUUAUUCUGCCCUUAGACAGUCUCGCGCUGUCAAAUAGUCUUUCAAUUUUCACAAUCAAACAGCGCACAAAUACCCGAAUUUAGCUCUUGUUGUGUUCUAAUGGGUGGAUUGUGUGCAUUCGCAGUAAUAUUUUAUUUUAAAAAGCUCUUAAAACUAUAAAAAUGCUUUUUAUUGUGAGCUCGUGAGACUGCACGCGCUGAUGCAGCGGUGAUUUCUCUCUGGUCUUUCUCACUGUUCUGGCCAGACAUCAAUUAUUAAUGAGAUCUGACCCGGUAUUUGUGAGCUGUUUGAUUGUGAAAAUUGAAAGACUAUUUGACAGCGCGAGACUGUCUAAGGGCAGAAUAACAUCGAUCUCUCGAGCUCCAGAGGACGCUGAUUCUGGCAAGAACGAACAAAUCAAGAACAAGGUUAUUUCAAAAAUACAUAAUAGCUUGGCGAAUAUAAACGAAAACAGUCACGUGAACAUAAACAGUUGAGAAAUAAAUCUGAAGUGUAUCAUGAUACUGGAUUUGAAUAUUAAAGUGACUGCAUUUACCAGCUGCUUUCUGUCUUUAAUUUUAAUCUAUAAAAACAGAAAAUCAUUCGUCUUGGCUGCUUUUUUUGUAUGUAUUCAUGUAUUUAUUAUUAUUAUUAUUAUUAUUUUUUUUUGCUCUAACAAGAAUGAAUCUAUAUUUAAUUAAAUUAAAUUUCUGCAUCUAAACACCUAUAAACCUAAAACAUGCUCUAUUAAACUAUUGUUAGCAAUUUCUUUAUCGUCCAGUUUAACUGGUGUACACACUUUUAUUUUUCAUAAUAAAUUUGUUUUUAGAUAAUAGACAGUUACAGUGGUCUAUAAUAA